GACGAACCGUGCGAACGUUGUUCGGAAUCACUGGGCUUAAAGGGCGCGUAGGCGGGCCUCCAAGUCCGGGGUGAAAUCCUCCAGCCUAACUGGAGAAGAGCCUCGGAGACUGGGGGCCUCGAGGGAGGUAGGGGCGUGCGGAACUAUGGGUGGAGCGGUGAAAUGCAUUGAUAUCCAUAGGAACUCCGGUGGCGAAGGCGGCACGCUGGACCUCUUCUGACGCUGAGGCGCGAAAGCCAGGGGAGCAAACAGG
rnacentral:rRNA from 1 species